rnacentral:rRNA from 1 species
UACGAAGGAUGCAAGCGUUAUCCGGAUUUACUGGGCGUAAAGGGCGCGUAGGCGGUCAGCACAAGUCAGUUGUGAAAUCUCCGGGCUUAACUCGGAAAGGUCAACUGAUACUGUGCGACUAGAGUGCAGAAGGGGCAACUGGAAUUCUCGGUGUAGCGGUGAAAUGCGUAGAUAUCGAGAGGAACACCUGCGGCGAAGGCGGGUUGCUGGGCUGACACUGACGCUGAUGCGCGAAAGCCAGGGGAGCGAACGGG